rnacentral:snRNA from 1 species
GAGCCUGAGGCCAACAUGCUGGAGCCAACAUCUGUCACCCCAUUGAUCACCAGGGUUGAUUCCUCUGAUCUGCCUGGCUAGGCGGGUGUCCCCUUCCUCCCUCACCGCUCCAUGUGCGUCCCUCCCGAAGCUGCAUGCUUGGUGGAAGAGGAUGGCUUUCUCCAAAUAGAGAUGGACUAGUCAAGAGUAUACGAGUAGCUGUGCUCCCCUGCUAGAACCUCCAAACAAGCUCUCAAAUAUGGGAAGAGUAUAUAAAUACCGUUAAUUGUAAACCCCAUAAAUCUGAUCUAUUUCUAUUCAUAUUGAAAACAGGAGCCUGU